GAGGUUACUGCUGUCUUUUCGUUUGUCUGUGCCCUGCCCCCAGAGGUGGAGUCUACAGAGGCGGGCAGGCCUCCUUGAGCUGUGGUGGGCUCCACCCAGUUGGAGCUUCCCAGCUGCUUUGUUUACCUAAGCAAGCCUGGGCAAUGGCGGGCGCCCCUCCCCCAGCCUCGCUGCCGCCUUGCAGUUUGAUCUCAGACUGCUGUGCUAGCAAUCAGCGAGACUCCGUGGGCGUAGGACCCUCCGAGCCAGUGAGAUGAACCCGGUACCUCAGAUGGAAAUGCAGAAAUCACCCGUCUUCUGCGUCGCUCACGCUGGGAGCUGUAGACCGGAGCUGUUCCUGUUCGGCCAUCUUGGCUCCUCCCUCAGGAUGAAAUUAUGAAUUUUUAAAAUCUAAAAAAUAAGAGAAGGAAGAAGGAAUUGACUUCCAAUGUUUUGCUAAAAAGAUUAUUCAUGAUGAUCCAAGAGCACAUCCACCCCUCACAAUCACCAUCACCACCUAGUCGGGUCCUCUAUUCCUCCAACUAGGGCCAAGCAUGGAAAUGGCCAGGGCUGGAGUAUCCUUCAGAAAGCCUGGGCAAUAAACCGAAGGCUCCUAAAAAGAGCAAAGUGUCUGCCAGGCACGAUGGCUCAUGCCUGUAAUCCCAGAACUUUGGGAGACCAAGGCAGGUGGAUCACCUGAGUUCGGGAGUUCGAGACAAGCCUGACCAACGUGGUAAAACCCUAUCUUUACUAAAAAUACAAAAUUAGCCAGGCAUGGGGGCAUAUGCCUCUAAUCCCAGCUACGCGGGAGGCUGAGGCAGGAGAAUCGCUUGAACCCAGGAGGCAGAGGUUGCGGUGAACUGAGAUGGCGCCAUUGCACUCCAGCUUGGGCAACAGGAGUGAAACUCCAUCUCAAACAACAACAACAACAACAACAACAACAACAACAACAAAAACACUUUCACACCUGAAUGACUAAAUAAUUGGAAAUAAUAAGGGUUGAGGGGGAGAAUAAAGCUACUGAAAUAUGGAAAGAAGACUAACACUACUUUUAAACUGAUGUUCUACUAAUGUAGACCCGUACAUCAUAUCACCAUUACAUUGUUUAAGCAUUAAAGUUUGCACUGUAAGUGGCUCUUUAAACCCUUCCCUCCAUUUCUUUUCCCUCUCUUUUUUUCUUCAAUUGAGGUGAUUUUUUUUUAAACUGACUCCCGACACUGCAUUCUGAAAGUGCUUGGAAGAAGAGCGUAAUUCUUCCUAUUCCAAAGUCAGUUAAACAACAUGAGGAAUUUGUAUCCAUCUAAGAAAUAUUUUCCUCAAUAUUUCCUCAGAAUUUAAGAUGAAUAUCAUUUUUUCCAAUAGGAAGAAACUUACAUUUCAUUAAUUUAAUGAUAAAACAGAGAUAUAAUACAGUAUAUUUAAUUCUGAAAUAUUUGCAUAAUAGAAGAUGUAGUAUAACUAAUCCAAAUCAUGACAAAAACAAAAAUAAUUUACAUUCAGCUUGACAUUUGUUUUUGUAUUUUUUAAUGUAAAAGGCUUAUUUUCUUAUUUCUUGUUUAUGCAAGUAAUUAAAAUUAAUGUUUUCCUCCUGAGUUGGAUCAGUCCAAAUAAAGAAUUCAGAUUUUCCCCCACACACACACACAGACACACACACACAGAAAGUCCAUCCAGCAAGUAACUUCUUGUAUAUAAGUUGAAUGUGAAAAAUUAUUGGAAUGGUGGUUGCAGAAGCUCUCAAAGAGCAAGUCCUGACGUUAGGAAAAACAUUCUGAGAAAACCAAAGAGAAGCUAUAACAUGGAAAGUAUAGGUAACAAGAAUUCAGAAUUUCAGGAGACCACAUGAAAUCUCAAGAAGCAAGAAAAAUAGGGAACUCAUGAGAAAAGCUAUGAAUUGCUUAAUAUUUUUGAAACCUAGCUUUCUCAACUUCUUUUGAGCAUUACUGAAAAUGCACAAAAGAUUAAUGAAGAGACAUAUAUGAUUCAUUCUUUUAACUCAUUUACUUAUCACCAGUGGAUUCGCAAUAUACAUGGGAAAAUACAGAUCUCAAGAGUUAGAACUAGAAUUUAUCAACCCACAGAUAUCUGAUGACAUAUGGGAAAGCUCUCUUGGGUUUUGGAUUGGUCUCUGUGUGAGCUUUUCAAUGCUGUUCAGAACCAGGAAAUUACACUAGGUUUCUUUUUGUUACUAAAAUUUGGCUUUUAGUCAGAGUUAAGGCCGAUGUUAGGUGUAAAUCAUAAGAGUAUCUGGUCCAACUAAAAUAUUAUUUUUGAACUGGGUUUUAGACUAGACCCUCAUAUAUAUCAGCUGUUCCCAGGCAGAGUAGCAAAAAAAAUCUGUUCAAAAAAACACUGUUUACUUAAUCCUAUCUCCUAAUAUUGUGCUUAAAAAUGAUUAUGACAAUACUGGGAAAAAGAUUGGGCUUUCUGUUUUGCAUUCAUAGAAUUGAACUUUAAUUUAAAUAAUAAAGCAAAGGAAUAUAGGAUCAAAAACAGUUUUUUCAUUGUUUAGUUUCUACAAGUUAUGACCUUUUAGUUUUAGGUAAGGGGAAAUCUCUGUUAACACUUUCUCUUAUCUAAAAGCUUCCUAGGACUCUUUCCCCUUUUCUCUCCUUUUCCUUACUGCCAGCCCCUACCUUGUUUCCUUUACUUUUGCCCAGCCGUGCUCCCUCAGUAGGAUCUUUUCAGUUCUCCCUAUGGGCCCAGAUGCAUUCCAGACUAGGACAUUGAGUACAUCAGAAGCCCCAUAUUCUGUAUCUAAUGAGUAUUCAAGUUAGAUCUUGUGGCCCAUGUCAACUCUAUUCUUCAGCCUCAGGAUUCUGGAUGAUUUCUCUCCAAUCCACUUAUGACCUAGGGCACAGUUCCUACCUCACGCUCCUGCUUGACAAGCUCAUUCUCCUUAAGGGAUUGUCAGGUGUUUGAACCAGAGCGACUCCAUCUUGAAUAGGGGCUGGGUAAAAUAAGGCUGAGACCUACUGGGCUGCAUUACAAGGAGGUUAGGCACUCCUAGUCACAGGAUGAGAUAGGAGGUUGGCACAAGAUGCAGGUCACAAAGACCUUGAUGAUAAAACAGAUUGUGGUAAAGAAGCUGGCCAAAACCAAGACAGUGACAAAAGUGACCUCUGGUCGCCCUCACUGGUCAUUAUACAGUAAUUAUUAUGCAUUUAGUAUGCUAAAAGACACACCCACCAGGACCAUGAUAGUUUACAAAUGCCAGGGAAAUGUCCAGAAGUUACUCUGUAUGGUCUAAAAAGGGGAGGAGCCCUCAUUUCUGGGAAUUGCCCAGCCCUUUCCAAGAAAACUCUUGAAUAAUUCAUGCUUUGUUUAGCAUAUAAUCAAGAAAUAACUAUAAGCAUACUCAGUUGAGCAGCCCAUGCCACUGUUCUGCCUAGGGGGUAGCCACUCUUUUAUUCCUUUACUUUUUUCUUAAUAAAUUUGCGUUCACUUUACUCUAUGGACUCACCCCAAAUUCUUUCUUGUGCGAGGUCCAAGAACCAUCUCUUGGGGUCUGGAUUGAGACCGCUUUAAGGUAACAGAGUGAAUACUUGCCUUGAGCCCAGACUGUUUCUUGUUCUGCCAGCCUCCUUCCCCAGCAGGCUGGAUUCUGUAUCCUGUUUCUUUUCCUGUGAAUCACAGGUAUUACCCUGAGUAUGGCAUGCUGCCUCCAUGAGUCUGCCUUGUAAAAAUAUAUCUCCCACCACUGCUGAUUGUUUCCUAUAUUCAUGGAAGCUUGAACUAGGUCUGAUAUUUCAUACUUAGUGUGUUUUGUGGAAUUGCUUAUUCUGCCGCUCUUAUUAGGGCCAGCCUCUUAGGUAGGUUUUCCCACUUCCCAUGGGCCUGGCUUCUUCAUUACUUCCUGCUCACUCCUCUCUACAUAAUCUACACACCUAGACCCUUGGUGACACUCUAUCAAUUUUCAUAACUAUAUUUAGGAAAUAUGUAGAGCCCUCUGCUUUCCAUUGCUGCUCUGCCCCUCUUGCCUCAAACUCAAACAGCACAGCAUAUCUUGUGUCCAAAGCCCAUCAAAGGUAAUGCAGAAAAAUAAUUCUCUCCUGCUCAUUUAUUGUGCUCAGUUUCCCCAUCACCCUCUCCAACAAUGCACAAUAUAACCACCUCCCACCAAAAAUCACAGCUUGAUGAACAGAGUCUAAUAAGUGAAAAGGUGUCAAAGAAGGCCGGAGUGGCUGCAGCUGAAGAGAAACGUGGAGUUAGCACUGAGCUUAGGGAUGCAUACUGAAGCCAAACAGCCUAAUCUUUGUAGUUCAUAGAAAUGGAGUGAUGUAUAAUUUGUUAUCCAAAUGGACCCUAUUCCAGAGUAAAAAGGAACACUAUCAAUAAUUUCACCAAGACAGUGAUGUAAAAUGACACUAUAUAGGACUAAUUGGAAAGUAUGGUCAACUUAUGAAUAUAGGAAUUUUGUUUCUGGUCUAAGAGCAAUAAGGAAUCCAUUAGUGAGUUUUAGACUUCUGCAUGAUUUGAUCUGCGUUUCACGAAUGCGUCUGUGGAGGAAUGAUCAGUUCACAACAUGGUCACAACCCCUCUCUCCAAACUGUCUCCUUUCCACGGAGGGUCUCUUGGUAAUUACCACUGCCACCAACAUGCUUGCUCCAUGGCUAUGCUUCCACCUGGUAAUAUUCUAAGACCACAAGACAAUAUGAUUUCACACUUUAUAGGAAAACUGAGUUAAACAGGAAGCAUUUAAAGAUGGUGUGGCUAACAAUGUUAGGUUAUAGGCCCCAACAAUGCAGACAGCCCUUUUUAUAUCUGUAGGUUCCAUAUCCGUGGAUUCAACCAACUUCACAUCAAAAACAUUUUUUAAACCCCAAUAAAAAUAGCAAUACCACAAUAGGAAAUAAUACAAAUAAAAUACAGAAUGACAACUAUUUACAAUCAUAUCAGCAUUGUGGGAGAAAACCCAAGUCACUCUCUCAAGUUCCCAGUGUUGUCACUUGCUAAUCUCUGCAAGUGGCCUGUACCAUUACUGCUUUGUAGAGUUUAUUGUGAUUUUCUUUGUAAUCUUUUUGUAAAUGUCCCAUGGACAACAGAAGCAUUUUUUUUUAAUUUUGCAGUUUGCUGAGAAAAGUGUUAUACCCAUUAAUUAAUCAACUUUACCAAAUAAAAGUUUCAUCUUCUAUGUUAUCAUGCAUCUACUUUUUCUGCAAUAUACUGAAGAAGGAUCUAUUUUGGGUUUCUUGAUCAGUAGUAGAUUAAAAAUACAUUCUAAAAUCCUUCAUUAGAAUUAGUUUCUCCUCAUAUUUCAGAUGACUUUUGAUUUGUCCAUGUUUAUGCUCUUCUAGGUACAUGAAUGUUGAGUCUCAUGAUUGUUGAGUCUUCCUUAGAAGUUUUACCCUUUAGAAAUAAAAAGCAUUUUAUGUCUAUUUUCACUAACAUUAGUUUUUCCUUAUUAUUUUGUAUAUCCUUGCUCAUUUAUUCUUUUUUAACUUAAAGUUUUAAUUUUGUUUAUUUCAAGCUUAUUUAACUAGUUCAAGUAGCAAGCAUAACAUUGAAAUUAACGUAAUACAAUCUAACACUUUUCCUCUUUUUUUUUUUUUUUUUUUUUUGAGACAGAGUCUCGCUCUGUCACCCUGGCUGGAGUGCAGUGGUAUGGUCUUGGCUAACUGCCAGCUCUGCCUCCUGGGUUCACGCCAUUCUCCUGCCUCAGCCUCCCAAGUAGCUGGGACUACAGGUGUCCACCACCACGCCUGGCCAAUUUUUUGUAUUUUUAGUAGAGACAGGGUUUCACUGUGUUAGUGUUAGCCAGGAUGGUCUUGAUCUCCUGACAUCGUGACCCACCCACCUCAGCCUCCCAAAGUGCUGGGAUUAACACUUUUACUUUUAAAACUUUGAUCCUUUCAUCUAUUAUAUUUUUAUAUUCAUUCUUGCAUCUGUUAUUUUGUAUUAUGGUCUUCUUUUCAAUGUUUUCUUUUUCUUUUGUCAUUUUUUUGAGUUCAGCGUAUGUGUGUGUGCUAUUAGACAUCCAAUUCUAGCAGCAUAAUUUUCUGAAAGACAUUCUUAAAAAUCUGUGUUUAACUAAAUGCCAAGGCCAAUAACAUAUAAAUAAUUUUAAAUUAAAGGUGUAGUUUCAAUAUUCCAUUUUACCCCUCUCCUUUACCAGAUUUCCCAAAUUCAAUUAAAGUUGUAAAUAUGACCAAAUUUCUUCUUUAAAAAUAUUUAACUUCUUUUUUUAAAAUGGGUCUUUUCGUUACUUACCUCUAUGUGCUUAUUUCAAUGCUCAAAUGAGUCUAAUCAUGAUUAUCUCAUUCCUGAGUUCCUUACUUUGAUUUGUCUUUCAUCUGCUACCACCAGAAACAUACCAACAUCUCUAGGCCUUAGGGGUUAGGUUUGGGAAAUCGAAGAGGUAUACCUCUCAUCCUAUCUAAAAUCCACAUCUCUCCCAUCAUCUCCUGCCCCAGGUUGACACUGGGAAUAUGCACACAUUUUAGAAGACAUCUCAAUUGUCACCUUGCCCCUUCCAUGGGUGUGACAGAGCCUCAAGGCAGGUUUCAGUGUCAUUUUCUCUCCCUUAGAGCUGAAAACAUGGUGUAAUUUGCAUUUAGGAUCUAAGUUGGUGCACCUUAUUAUUAGAGAAAUAUUCUACUAUUCCUGAGCUCGUUGUUUUUGUUUCAUCAUUUCUAUUCUUUCAUCCGUGUGUUGGGUCUUUGAAUUCUCUAUACUUAUCACUUUAACACUAUUAUCCUAUUUUAUUUGUGUGCUUCUUUCCGGAAAAAGAAAUUUACCAGUAUUAUUUUCCAUGACAUCUAGCCUGACUCAUUGUUGUUUUAUAUCCUUUGGCAACUGUGUUUUUCAUAUUUCUUGUCCAGGCUCCUAACCUUUCCUUUUAUCUAACUCUAUUGAUAUUCUUGUUGAAAGUCCUAUUAUUUUGUUACUGUUUUGUUUGUUUUCUAAGACUAUUUCUAACAGGUGAUCCACUUUCCAUGUUCUAAAAUAAGAAGCCAAAUCCUUCAGACACUCCAUUAGCAUCGUAGUGUCAAAGCUCUGUGCUACAGUUCUCACCCGUACUCUCCCUCCUUCCCCAGUGCUGUAUCGCCAAGGAGGAGCUCAUCAUGGAUUAUUUAUUCUUUGGGACUGAACCUGGAAGUACCUUCUUGAACAUUUUUGGCUAGAAUCUUCAGCAGUCCUUAACAUGACUCAGCAUAUUUCCUGUGAAACUUUACAGGCUGAAGAUUCACAAAUGAGCUUCCUUUUCCAAGUAUGACUAAAUAAAACAUAAUCAUCCAUAUAUGCUUCUCAUACAUUAGGAUUGCUUCAAACUGGCCUCUUGUAGUGAUCAGUCUCUGCUCAGUGUUGGCACAAUUGCCAAUCGCCCACUGUACGCCAUUUGUACAUUGCUGAGCGGCACGAGGUCUGCGAGUCAAUGCUGGGCAGAUGGAGAAUGUGGAGUGAGUCUCCUGCCUGACUCUCAGGACACUCUUAUCUCUAACAUUUAGCCCUCUAACCUAGAGUGAAUCCCCAGCGCAUUGCUCAAUUCAACUCCCAUUCUUUUGCAGAUGUGCCAGGGUCAUGUAUCAGUCUUCCAGGCAGAUGGUUUCCAUUAAUCUAAUACUAUUUGUAAUGGGUAAUUGUAUGGGUCAACAUGGCAAGGCUCUGGUGCUUGAACAAACACCAGUCUAGAUGCUGCUGUGGUUGUACUUUUUUAGAUAUGAUUAAUACCUACAGUCAGUUGACUUUAAGUAAAGCAAAUUACCUUCCAUAAAGUAGGAGGAUCUCAUUGAAUCAGUUGCAGACAUAAUGAGCAAAGACUGAGGUUCCCCAAAGAUGAAGGCAUUCUGCCUCACAACUGCAACAUAGAAAUUGUGUCUGAGUUUCGAGCCUGCUGGCAUGCCCUGAAUAUUUUGGACUCAAGAGUGAAACAUCCACUUUUAGCUGAAUUUCCAAACUGCCAGAAUGCCCUACAAAUUUUGGACUUGACAGCCUGUACAAUUGCAUGAGCCAAUUCUUUAAAAUAAAUCAAUCUUUUUUCUCUCUCGUUCUCUGAUGGUUAAUUUUAUGUGUCAACUUGAAUGGGCUAAGGAAUUACUAGAUAGCUGGCAAAAUAUUAUUUUUGAGUGUGUCUGUGACUGUGUUUCUGGAAAAGAUUAGCGUUUAAAUCAGUAAAUUGAGUAAAGAAGAUCUUCCCUUCCCAAAUGUGAGUGGGCAAUAUGCAGAAUAGAACAAAAAGGCAGAGGAAGGGUGAAUUCUAUCUCUUCCUGAGCUGAGACAUCCAUCUUCUGCUUUUGGACAUCGAAACUCCUGAUUCUUGGCCCUUCAGACUCUGACUUAUACAGAUUGAAUUUCCCUCAUCUGAAAUUUCAAAUCCAAUUGCUCCAAAAUGUGAAAUAUUUUGAAUGCUAACGUGACCCUCAAAGGAAAUGCUUAGUGGAGCAUUUCAUUUUGGGAUUUUCAGAUUUGGGAUGAUGAAUUGGUAAGUAUAAUGCAAAUAUCCCAAAUUCUGAAAAAAAUUGAAAUCUAAAAUAUUUCCAGUCCCAAGCAUUUUGGAUAAAGGUGAGAUACUCAGUCUGUACCACAGCAUCCCACCCCUUACUUGGUUCUCAGGCCUUCAGACUCAGUCUAUAUUACAGCACUGGCAUUUCUGUUUCUCUCAUUUGCAGAUGGCAGAUAGUGGGACUUUUUGGCCUCUGCAAUUGAUCAUGC
rnacentral:lncRNA from 10 species